AGGAUUGAGGGGUUGGAAGAGACCUUUAGAACAGAUAGUCAUUAUGCUGACCGGGUGUCUGCACUAAGCUCAGCAUGAAUAUGGUGACCUCCUGGGAUCAGGGGCCACCUGGUUGCCUAAGGAUGAGUGAACUGGCCCAGAUCAGAAAGGAAGCAGUUCAGAAUUCCCACACUGACUGGUAGCAGGACUGUGCCUGGGCAAUAUAGCAAGAUCUUGGUUCUU
rnacentral:sRNA from 1 species